rnacentral:rRNA from 1 species
GUGAACGCUGGCGGUAGGCCUAACACAUGCAAGUCGAACGGCAGCACAGUAAGAGCUUGCUCUUACGGGUGGCGAGUGGCGGACGGGUGAGGAAUACAUCGGAAUCUACUUUUUCGUGGGGGAUAACGUAGGGAAACUUACGCUAAUACCGCAUACGACCUACGGGUGAAAGCAGGGGAUCUUCGGACCUUGCGCGAUUGAAUGAGCCGAUGUCGGAUUAGCUAGUUGGCGGGGUAAAGGCCCACCAAGGCGACGAUCCGUAGCUGGUCUGAGAGGAUGAUCAGCCACACUGGAACUGAGACACGGUCCAGACUCCUACGGGAGGCAGCAGUGUGGAAUAUUGGACAAUGGGCGCAAGCCUGAUCCAGCCAUACCGCGUGGGUGAAGAAGGCCUUCGGGUUGUAAAGCCCUUUUGUUGGGAAAGAAAAGCAGCAGGUUAAUACCCCGCUGUUCUGACGGUACCCAAAGAAUAAGCACCGGCUAACUUCGUG